CCACCCAGGAGAGCCUGUGCAGCCUGGGGAACGUGCCAGGCUUGGGGCUGCUCCAUGGUGGCUGGUCACCUCUCUUGUAAUUGGCCACAUCUGGGGAGGGCACCAGGAGUACCUCUCUGCAGCACGAGGCCAGCUCAGGUUAGGACAGAGGCCCCAAGGGUCAGGGCCAUGCCUGCUUCAUGCCAUGUGCUGACUGAGCCCAUCUUGCAACCUGCCCAGCUGUUCCCCUGGGCCCUUGGAGUACAGGCACAGCCUCAGCCAAUUCCCUGAGUUCCUUGGCCAUCUUGCUUCGUCCAGUGGUUCUCAGCCUUGGCAGAAGCUUAGAAAAAACAGGAUGCUUUUAAAGAUCAGCUUUAAAAAACAGGAUGCCAAGGCCCCAUCACUCAGGGUCUCUGGAGAUGUGGCUGGUGCCAGGAUACUUCAAGGUGAUCCAGUGCUUCCCAUGCGCUCAGCUUCCCCUGAGCCAACUGGAGCUGGAGCUCAUUCAUCUGUCACACCCCUACACUCUGCAAGGAGGAAGGGUGUGGUCCUCCCCAUUCCUCAUCGACUCUUCCAGGGUUUAUCUCUGCCCUCAAAGCCCACGAAGGUGGGGUGCGGUGACUCAUGCCUGUUAUCCCAGCUCUUUGGGAGGUGGAGGCAGGCAGAUUGUUGGAGAUCAGGAGUUUGAAACCAGCCUGGCCAACAUGGCGAAACCUCUUCUCUACUAAAAAUACAAAAAUUAACUGAUGUGGUGGAGGGUGCCUGUAAUCCCAGCUACUCAGGAGGCUGAGGCAGGAGAAUUGCUUGAACCCAGGAGGUGGAAGUUGCAGUGAGCUUAGAUUGCGCCACUGCACUCCAGCCUGGACCGCAGAACAAGACUCUGUCUUCAAAAACAAAACAAAACAAAUGCAAAGGGCCUUCUGGUCAACCCACAGUGGGAUGGGGAGGAGGAGGAGACACGGGGAGGGAGAAGGUGGAAGGUGCCCUGGUGGGCUUUGGCCCAGCCUCUUCAUAGACUGAAAGAGUCAGCCCUGCCAUCACCCCCAAAGCCACCUCUAGCCCAGGAGGCCCAUGCUGGGCCACCCCCAGGCUUCCCACAAGGACACCAGAAGGUCUGGCAGGGAGAGUGGAGGCUGCUGGCCCCCACUCUGACCUCCCCCACAGGGAGAGGCACCGGGAGCUGAGCUGGGGCACAGAGGCAGGCACGGUGCCCACGAGCCCUGGCAAAGUCCCCGAGGACUCAUUGGCCCGGCUGCUCCGGGUGCUGCAGGACCUCCGCGAGGCCCAUAGCUCCAGCCCGGCCGGCUCCCCACCCUCAGAGCCCAACUGCCUCCUGGAGCUGCAGACGUGAGGCCCGCCCUACGCUCCCCUUGCUGAGUCCCCUGCCAAGCACUCGGAGCCCCCCCAGGACACUCUGCACCCCCUCACCCCGGUCCUCCUCAUUAGGGUGCAGGGCCUAGGUCUCUUCCAAGUGGGGGAGGGGGGAGAGUCAGGAAUAAGGGGAUCCCCAGAAGUGCAGAGCUGAGCAGGCUUGGGCCUGUCAUGGCUGGCCUGAAGUGUCCCCAGCUCCCUACAGCCGCUGUAGCCAUCACUGCCUCUCCAGGGACCCUCCUCUCCUGCCUAGGACAGACCCAGCCAGAACCACUGCUAGGAUGGGCCACACCCAGGGGUCUGGCCUCCAGGGACCUAGAGAAUGGGAGGGAGAACGGGGCCCCAGGAGACCCGGCCGCCACCCCACCCGCUACCCUUGGGUGCCACAGGGCUGUGCUGUUGCCAACAGUAAACCUGCUGUUACUGUCCA